CAUUCUCAUCUUUGCACACGGGAAAUAUUCAGGGAAGGCACUUUAGAUGCAAAAUACUGAGAUGCUUUCUGCUUGAAAACUAUAGUCAAAAGUUGAUUCACAGAAGUUCAGAAGUUCAGUCCAGAUGCCAAGGCAUGCUUAGCAUCUCAUAGUCAGAGGCUAUCCCGUCUCAACAUUGCACCUAUGCAGGUUUUCAAUUUAGGAGAUGAUUUGCACCUAUCCAUUUACUCUAAUGUAUUACAUGCUAAUCCUUUUGGAGGCAAGAACGGAAGAAAAAUCUGGUGAUGUCUCCACGAGUCAAGUUAUAUAGCCGUUUCUGACUUGAAGGAAUAUUUGUGGAAUUUCAACCAUUAGGAAGUUAGAGGGCAUCUGCAGCUUGGCAAAGUAGAUGUUGUUGACAUCAAUUAUUAAUUGUUAUUUUAUAAUGUUCCAUCAUUUUGUUUUUACACUUUUUUGCAGGCACUAGCAAUGUUUUACCAUUGACAGAGCAUUGUGAAUAUGGUAACAGACUACUUGGGUGUUCUGAAAUCGAAUUCUGUAUAUAAUAUAAGUAUAGUCCAUGGCAUGUGCUGCUGCUUCCGAUUAGAUACAAUAGCUUUUCUCUUUUGUAUCGUACAACUGAGAUCUUCAUUACAUUACAACCUUAUGUUUUGCUUUUUUUUUAAUUGAAAUUGGUGUUCUCUCUCUAGGUUAAUGGAUCAUCCUGGGAAUGGACUAUGGAAUGGCAAACUAACAGGGCACAUCGCACAACUGGGUAUUGUCAAUCUACUUACAGACCACUUGCGUUGGGCAAGAGGGUUCUGCUGUGGAGACCAAGAAAAAGGAUGGGAACAUUGGGGACGCCUCAGCUGCCAUCGAUGAACGCAACUCGGAACAGGCAAAGCUCCACGCGAGGCUCCCCUGGCUGCCGAGCAUCUCUGAGAAGCCCAAAAUGAUAUGAGAUGAUGUCAUGGUGAUCGAUAGUGCCACGCAGGUUAUGCCGGAGACCAUCAUGUUCCCUGUCAAGUUCUUCCAGUUCUUCACCGAGAUUCUGCCAGCAGCAAGCGAGGUCAUCUCCUUCUUAGACCAGUACUAAGGACCGCCGUUAUGUGGAUCCAUUUUACAUGCAAAUGUCGAGCCCAUCAUAUCGUGUUCGACCCAUGAACUGGAAGGAUAUAUUGCUUGCCAUUAUGUGGUUGUUGGUCAGGCCAGCUGAGGAGAGGCACCAAAUUAAGAAGAGAGAGACAUCAAAGAUGGAGCUGUGUUUAGCUUCUCGCUCAUCAGACCUUACCCGGCAGAGCUGCUUGAGGGGCUUGCUGCCAUGCGGUUUUGCUCAAAAUAGCUAGAGCACACACGUGAUAGGGUUGCUUUGGUUUACAGGGAGGAGAGGCUGAGGCUGAUGCUUCUAGAGUUGGUGUACGUUGCGUAGAGAGAGUUUACGUAAAGAGUUUCGGGGGAGCAAAGCAGAAAGGAGUUCGGUGCGAAGGAGAAUAGGAGGGAGGAGAGAUUUUUUUGUGCGUUAGAUGGAUUGACAAGUACCAAAGUUUGAUGCAAGCAGAAUUGAAACCUGUCCAUGGAUUACCUUCAGUCCCACAUUCCAAUC